CACGUAGGGGGCAAGCGUUGUUCGGAAUUACUGGGCGUAAAGGGCAUGUAGGCGGCUUUGUAAGCCCGGCGUGGAAGCCCACGGCUCAACCGUGGGAUUGCGUUGGGAACUGCGAGGCUUGAAUCAUGGAGAGGGAGCUAGAAUUCCUGGUGUAGGGGUGAAAUCUGUAGAGAUCAGGAAGAAUACCAGUGGCGAAGGCGAGCUCCUGGCCAAUGAUUGACGCUGAGGUGCGAAAGUGUGGGGAUCAAACAGG
rnacentral:rRNA from 1 species